rnacentral:misc_RNA from 1 species
GUAUGCAAGGAAAAGACAAACACAAUUAUAGCUGAAUUUUACUAAUCAAGCACCAGAAAGUUUACUAAGAUCUGCAUGAAGAAAUUAUUUACAUCCAAGCUGGACAAUAUAGAUCAUUGAAACCAAAAAGUAUCUUUUUUUGUCACCUCCAUCCAACCAAAUUCACAAGUGCUAAGGCCUUCCAUACAGGAAAAAAUAUCAGUUUUAUCAUGUAGAUGCCCAGAACAAUUCAUAGAAUAUUAAAACUCACAAAGUAAAAUCCAUCAAGGACAAAUGACCAUGGACUCUCCAUGCCUUUGCAAAGGAAAUUGGAAUACGCAUCAAUAUAGCAUUUUUACUUUUUUAGAAGUUCAGCCUAUGUCCAAUAACCCAAAAAUGGAAAACCAAACAAUUAAGAGAAGAAUGAAGUCAAUUAUCAAUGAGGAGAACUGCAAAACUAAAACUAGUGGAGAUAGAAAUUUAGUUAAAAAAGUCAGAGUUGAUAGUCGAUAAGACCAUAAAAUAACUGGAAAUUCAGCCAUCAUAAACAUAAAUAGAAACAAGUCUUACUUUGUAAUUUUCCAGUGCAAAC